rnacentral:rRNA from 1 species
AGGACGAACGCUGGCGGCGUGCUUAACACAUGCAAGUCGAGCGGAAAGGCCCUUCGGGGUACUCGAGCGGCGAACGGGUGAGUAACACGUGAGCAACCUGCCCCUGGCUCUGGGAUAGCCUCCGGAAACGGGGAUUAAUACCGGACAUUCACUUCCUUCCGCAUGGUUGGUGGUGGAAAGUUUUUCGGCCGGGGAGGGGCUCGCGGCCUAUCAGCUUGUUGGCGGGGUAACGGCCCACCAAGGCGACGACGGGUAGCCGGCCUGAGAGGGCGACCGGCCACACUGGGACUGAGACACGGCCCAGACUCCUACGGGAGGCAGCAGUGGGGAAUAUUGCGCAAUGGGCGGAAGCCUGACGCAGCGACGCCGCGUGGGGGAUGAAGGCCUUCGGGUUGUAAACCCCUUUCACCAGGAGCGAAUCAAGACGGUACCUGGGAAGAAGCGCCGGCUAACUACGCGCCAGCAGCCGC